AACGAACGCUGGCGGCAGGCCUAACACAUGCAAGUCGAGCGAGGACUUCGGUUCUAGCGGCGGACGGGUGAGUAACGCGUGGGAAUGUGCCCUUCUCUACGGAAUAGCCCUGGGAAACUGGGAGUAAUACCGUAUACGCCCUUUUGGGGAAAGAUUUAUCGGAGAAGGAUCAGCCCGCGUUGGAUUAGGUAGUUGGUGGGGUAAUGGCCUACCAAGCCGACGAUCCAUAGCUGGUGUGAGAGGAUGAUCAGCCACACUGGGACUGAGACACGGCCCAGACUCCUACGGGAGGCAGCAGUGGGGAAUCUUAGACAAUGGGGGCAACCCUGAUCUAGCCAUGCCGCGUGAGUGAUGAAGGCCUUAGGGUUGUAAAGCUCUUUCAGCUGGGAAGAUAAUGACGGUACCAGCAGAAGAAGCCCCGGCUAACUCCGUG
rnacentral:rRNA from 1 species